rnacentral:tRNA from 1 species
GGUUCCAUAGAGUAGUGGUUAGCACAUCUGCUUUACAAACAGAAAGAAGGUCCUGGGCUAGAGCCCCAGAGGAGCCA